AGAGUUUGAUCCUGGCUCAGGACGAACGCUGGCGGCGCGCCUAACACAUGCAAGUCGAACGAGCGAGAGAGAGCUUGCUUUCUCGAGCGAGUGGCGAACGGGUGAGUAACGCGUGAGGAACCUGCCUCAAAGAGGGGGACAACAGUUGGAAACGACUGCUAAUACCGCAUAAGCCCACGGCUCGGCAUCGAGCAGAGGGAAAAGGAGCAAUCCGCUUUGAGAUGGCCUCGCGUCCGAUUAGCUAGUUGGUGAGGUAACGGCCCACCAAGGCGACGAUCGGUAGCCGGACUGAGAGGUUGAACGGCCACAUUGGGACUGAGACACGGCCCAGACUCCUACGGGAGGCAGCAGUGGGGAAUAUUGCACAAUGGGGGAAACCCUGAUGCAGCGACGCCGCGUGGAGGAAGAAGGUCUUCGGAUUGUAAACUCCUGUUGUUGAGGAAGAUAAUGACGGUACUCAACAAGGAAGUGACGGCUAACUACGUGCCAGCAGCCGCGGUAAAACGUAGGUCACAAGCGUUGUCCGGAAUUACUGGGUGUAAAGGGAGCGCAGGCGGGAAGACAAGUUGGAAGUGAAAUCCAUGGGCUCAACCCAUGAACUGCUUUCAAAACUGUUUUUCUUGAGUAGUGCAGAGGUAGGCGGAAUUCCCGGUGUAGCGGUGGAAUGCGUAGAUAUCGGGAGGAACACCAGUGGCGAAGGCGGCCUACUGGGCACCAACUGACGCUGAGGCUCGAAAGUGUGGGUAGCAAACAGGAUUAGAUACCCUGGUAGUCCACACCGUAAACGAUGAUUACUAGGUGUUGGAGGAUUGACCCCUUCAGUGCCGCAGUUAACACAAUAAGUAAUCCACCUGGGGAGUACGACCGCAAGGUUGAAACUCAAAGGAAUUGACGGGGGCCCGCACAAGCAGUGGAGUAUGUGGUUUAAUUCGACGCAACGCGAAGAACCUUACCAAGUCUUGACAUCCUGCGACGGUUCUGGAAACAGAACUUUCCUUCGGGACGCAGAGACAGGUGGUGCAUGGUUGUCGUCAGCUCGUGUCGUGAGAUGUUGGGUUAAGUCCCGCAACGAGCGCAACCC
rnacentral:rRNA from 1 species